rnacentral:rRNA from 1 species
GGGAAACUUAAGCUAAUACCGCAUAAUGCAGCGGCUCGACAUCGAGACAGUUGUUAAAGGAGCAAUCCGUCCUUUUGAGCAGCCUGCGGCAGAUUAGCUAGUUGGUAAGGUAAUGGCUUACCAAGGCUACGAUCUGUAACCGACCUGAGAGGGUGGUCGGUCACACUGACACUGAAUAACGGGUCAGACUCCUACGGGAGGCAGCAGGUCGGGAAUUUUGGGCAAUGGGCGAAAGCCUGACCCAGCAACGCCGCGUGAAGGAUGAAGUAUUUCGGUAUGUAAACUUCGUAAGAAUAGGAAGAAUAAAUGACGGUACUAUUUGUAAGGUCCGGCUAACUACGUG